UCCAGCACUCAACAUCAUGGAGUAUACAGUGAAUUAUAGCGUGAUAAAGUUAUAAUUUUCACUAAAUUUUCAACUGCACACACUUACCAGUGAACUGUGUGUAAAUCAUCAACUGCCUGUGUAUCAGCUGAUUUCUACUCCAGCUUUACAUCCUGAGCAGAAGAUUGUCGUGGAGAAGACGGACCCUUGAUGCUCUGCCUUUUUGCA